rnacentral:rRNA from 1 species
GUGGGGAAUUUUGGACAAUGGGCGCAAGCCUGAUCCAGCCAUGCCGCGUGCAGGAUGAAGGCCUUCGGGUUGUAAACUGCUUUUGUACGGAACGAAAAGACUCCUUCUAAUACAGGGGGCUGAUGACGGUACCGUAAGAAUAAGCACCGGCUAACUACGUGCCAGCAGCCGCGGUAAUACGUAGGGUGCAAGCGUUAAUCGGAAUUACUGGGCGUAAAGCGGGCGCAGGCGGGGAUGUAAGACAGAUGUGAAAUCCCCGGGCUCGACCUGGGAACUGCAUUUGUGACUGCAUGGCUGGAGUGCGGCAGAGGGGGAUGGAAUUCCGCGUGUAGCAGUGAAAUGCGUAGAUAUGCGGAGGAACACCGAUGGCGAAGGCAAUCCCCUGGGCCUGCACUGACGCUCAUGCACGAAAGCGUGGGGAGCAAACAGGAUUAGAAACCCCAGUAGUCC